rnacentral:rRNA from 1 species
CAGCCGCCACGGUAAUACGGAGGGAGCUAGCGUUGUUCGGAAUUACUGGGCGUAAAGCGCGCGUAGGCGGUUACUCAAGUCAGAGGUGAAAGCCCGGGGCUCAACCCCGGAACUGCCUUUGAAACUAGGUGACUAGAAUCUUGGAGAGGUCAGUGGAAUUCCGAGUGUAGAGGUGAAAUUCGUAGAUAUUCGGAAGAACACCAGUGGCGAAGGCGACUGACUGGACAAGUAUUGACGCUGAGGUGCGAAAGCGUGGGGAGCAAACAGGAUUAGAUACCCGUGUAGUCCCUGUCUCUUAUAC